rnacentral:rRNA from 1 species
UUGAGAUUUUAACACGAAGUGAGUGGCGAACGGGUGAGUAACACGUGGGUAACCUGCCCAGAAGUAGGGGAUAACACCUGGAAACAGAUGCUAAUACCGUAUAACAGAGAAAACCGCAUGGUUUUCUUUUAAAAGAUGGCUCUGCUAUCACUUCUGGAUGGACCCGCGGCGUAUUAGCUAGUUGGUGAGGUAAAGGCUCACCAAGGCAGUGAUACGUAGCCGACCUGAGAGGGUAAUCGGCCACAUUGGGACUGAGACACGGCCCAGACUCCUACGGGAGGCAGCAGUAGGGAAUCUUCCACAAUGGACGCAAGUCUGAUGGAGCAACGCCGCGUGAGUGAAGAAGGGUUUCGGCUCGUAAAGCUCUGUUGUUAAAGAAGAACGUGGGUA